rnacentral:tRNA from 1 species
GGCGUGCACUAAUUGCUUCCAUUUGCGUCAUCACAUAAGGUUUACCCUCAAACUCGAUUUUAUAAAUACCAUC